rnacentral:rRNA from 1 species
AUUGAACGCUGGCGGCAGGCUUAACACAUGCAAGUCGAGCGGGGUGAUGGUGCUUGCACUAUCACUUAGCGGCGGACGGGUGAGUAAUGCUUAGGAAUCUGCCUAUUAGUGGGGGACAACAUCUCGAAAGGGAUGCUAAUACCGCAUACGUCCUACGGGAGAAAGCAGGGGAUCACUUGUGACCUUGCGCUAAUAGAUGAGCCUAAGUCGGAUUAGCUAGUUGGUGGGGUAAAGGCCUACCAAGGCGAUGAUCUGUAGCGGGUCUGGGAGGAUGAUCCGCCACACUGGGACUUAGACCCGGCCCAGACUCCUACGGGAGGCAGCAGUGGGGAAUAUUGGACAAUGGGGGGAACCCUGAUCCAGCCAUGCCGCGUGUGUGAAGAAGGCCUUAUGGUUGUAAAGCACUUUAAGCGAGGAGGAGGCUCUUUUGGUUAAUACCCAAGAUGAGUGGACGUUACUCGCAGAAUAAGCACCGGCUAACUCUGUGCCAGCCGCCGCCGUAA